UGCCACUAAGUUAUCCCUUGGUUUAGUUAUGGGUUCCCACCUAUUAAUAUUUAUAACUUUUAGCGAUUUUUUUAUGUAAUUUUAAGUCUUACGGUAGUGGAUGUGGGUUUCCGGGAACCUACACCUUCUACUCUACAUCCGCCACUGUUUUCCAUCGAUACCAAAUUCGCCUAAAUCCGACACUCGGUGAAGGAGUUAUGACAUUUUUAAUUUGACAGUGUGUCAC
rnacentral:lncRNA from 1 species